UGGUCUGACAGGAAAGAGGGUGUGUCGAAUAACCAAAAAUUCCUAUAAAGUCUGAGGAGGUGGGAGAGAAGUAGAGGAUGAGGCAUGAGUUAAAAGAAAUAAAACAACCAGAAAUACUACUGUCACCACCAGUCCCUCCUCCAACUGUCUGCCACAGAAAUGGCUGUGAGGGAAAGCAGGUACCACCUGGACGUUGGAGAGGAUCAGGAGCCCCCUUCUUCCACGUGUGGAGCGCUCCCUGCCCUCCCUUGGCUCUCACAGCUGUCCCCAGCCCUGACUCUGCGGCCUGGGUCAGAUGAGCUCAGCCUCCUUUGAUCUCCUCCCCUGCAAGGUCAGCAGCUCCCCCCAGGGCCUUCUCCCAGGUCCCAGCUCAGCCUUCACAUCUGCCAGGGCCUCGGAAACUGGGAGGCUGAGGAAGAAGGCAAGAGCAGGCUGUGGCAGGGGGGUGGGCUGGCUGUUUUUCCAUAGUGUCUGCCACAACCAAAGGGUCCUGUUUUCACCUGGUCAUUGUGGGGAAGGCAGGCAGGGGUGCUGGGGUGCCCGGGCGCCAGGGAGAGAAGGUCGUGCUGUGGCUCCUUACUCCUCUCCUGCAUCCUCAGUCAGGGACUGUGGCACAGGAAUCAUCAAGCGCUGGGACGGGAGGAACCACAGCAGGCAUCUCCUCCACGGGCCCCGGCCUGGGCCCUGGAUUCAGCAAGCGAGCCCUCCCGCCCACCUUCAGCCAUGGCCCAGAGAAAUUGCGUGAUGAGCUGAAAUAAUACAGUGGUAACUGCUUGGCCAGCCCAGACUUGGGUCUCCUGCCCUCAGCUCAUUUCCCUGGUGACUGAACCACUCAAAGAAGAAGAAGCAGGACCACAGCAUGCGUGAGGCUGAUGGGAGUGGAUUUGCUCCUCUCCAGCCUCCCAGACUCUCACAGUGGCUGUUAUGCCAGGUGGGAACUGAGGCCCAGAAGGCCCCGUUGGUUUCCCAAAGGAACCAAGGUAUAUGCCUUUUCAGGUUUGGAGCAGACGACUGAAUGAGUUUUGAGAUAAUGCACUGUGAGUAUUUCCUUCUGAGCCAAUGAGACUGACAAAGCCUUGUAUGCACCUCACAGGUUUGUACAGCUGCAUGCUGAGUGCCCCAAUCCCUAGAGCUAAGAAUCCUGGAAAUUAUUAAUUUUUUUAAAGAAAAGAGAGAAGAAAAGAAGAAAAGGACAAAAGAAAGAAAAAGAAAGAAAAAAAAGAAAAAAUAUAUAUAGAAACAUGAAAAAAAGAAAAAAAUUUUUUGCCAAAUGGGGCAUAUGACCCUCACACCUGAAGAAUAAUCUGGAAAAUGAGAGGUAAAGAAGACAUGCGUUUGACCAGUUUCCACCAUAUGUCACAGCUAAACAUUGAGCUUUUAUGGGCAUUUUCAUCUGAUGAUUUUCUAAAAUGAACCAAAGGAAAGAGAAUGAAAACCCAGGAAGAAGACAGAAAGCCAGAAGCCUGCCACGGAAGGGGAUGUCUGGGAAAGCCAAACAACUGGGCAGGGAGAAGGCAGGACCUGGGCGAUGGAGAAGUUGCCACCAGCGUGGGGCCGGAGGGGUGGAUGCCAGGCCGCCCGCUCCCUCCUCCCAGAUGGCCCCACUCCACCCAAGCAUGGGCAACUCUGCCUGCACAUGGUGUUUUCUUUUUUCUCAAAUAAAAUAUCAUCACCUGAUCUUAGCUAAGUAACUGUGAACUUGUAAAAGUCUGUUUGUGGUUCCCCAGAGACUCAUUCAAGUGGUUUUUCAGAUGAAUUUGUUCAUUCAAACACUUCGCAGUGUUUCUCUAAUUGUUUCUCACAGUCCCGUUGUGAGGGGUAAUUAUUCCAGCGACCUCGCUCAGCCCUGUUGCAGGUGAGUAAACUGAGCCUGGUGAAAGCAGUGCCAUGAGAGGCAGAAACCACCCCGGAUCCAUCUGCCCCACCCUCAGACACUUGUGGGCAUUGUCCAAAUCUAGAAUCUUGUAGAACUCACAGACUGCAUGUUUCCAGCCAACCCCAGACCAUGAGACAGGCAUCUGUUUGGUUUGGCCAGGACACAGCAUCCUGUUGAUAACCAUUCCAUAAUUUUGCAACAUGUCAGCUGUGUCAGUGAAGCUAGUAUAUUUCAGUCUUAGAAAACUAGGAAUUCAAGAGACAGAAACUAAUAAGAACAGGGGUCCUAAGGAGUCUUUAAAGAUACUGCAAAUGUACAAGAAAAGCAUUUUGGGAAAUAGAUUUAGAAUUUAAUUCGAAUUCUUCUAACUAAUGGAAUAUAUUGCUCAGGAUUCUUCUCUGUCUCCCUUGGAAUUUAGUCCUGCAUGAAGAUCCUGGGAUGUAUUAUGAAUGAAUCAAUUAGCAUUAAAUAACAUUUUAUGUUAUAUGUUAUAACCUUGACAGAGACACUAAAAAAAGACUAAUUGUGUAAUUCAUAAUUCAUACCAAUCAGUGUUGAAACUCAAACAAUGCAAAAGUGGGAGACAAUAUCCAGUGAUUAACAAUUUCAUAGCUUCUGCACAUCUGAGAAAAGAGUGCUCAGUUGAAUUACAUCCUCCAUAAGCACGUUUUUAUAAGAGUUGUGCAUGUGCCUAUCUUAACAGUUGUCUUCUGUAUCUUG